AAGUCGUAACAAGGUUUCCGUAGGUGAACCUGCGGAAGGAUCAUUAUCGAGUUUUGACUGGGUUGUAGCUGGCCUUCCGAGGCAUGUGCACGCCCUGCUCAUCCACUCUACACCUGUGCACUUACUGUGGGUUUCAGAUGUUAUUAGCGGGGCCUUUGCGGGUCUCGUGAAAGCGUCUGUGCCUGCGUUUAUUACAAACUCUUACAAGUAACAGAAUGUGUAUUGCGAUGUAACGCAUUUAAAUACAACUUUCAGCAACGGAUCUCUUGGCUCUC
rnacentral:misc_RNA from 1 species